GGCUGAUUCCAUCAGUUCGCCGUGUACUUCAGGAGAGAUCUGAAUUACUGCGGAAAGAGAGAUAACGAAGUGAACUAUCCAAGCAACGAGCCACGAGCCACAGUUACGCCUGACAGAAUUCAUAGAAGGUAGAAAUACAAAGAAAUCCAACAUGUCGUCUGCAAAAGGAGUUGCUAUUGGGUGUGGAACUCAGGCACGUGGAGCAUCAGGAGCCGGUGCUCAGGGGCCCACUAUUGAAGAGGUGGAUUAAAAUACCUAAGGAAUGGUCCAGGGACUGAUAACACUCUUUUCUCUUUGACUCGAUCUUCUUUUUUUCUCUUUUUUCUUCUCUAAUUGCACAUUAUAUGAGUUCACUCCAUUUUGCUACUGUUAAACUUGACACUACUUAGUCAAUAUGUUUUGAGUUAAAAAAUAAGCUUGGAAUUUUAUAAGAUGUGAUUUUUAAUGAAUUAUUCAUGUUUUUUAUUGUUAGAUGUUGACGAAUGUUGUGGUGAAACUGUAAAUAAAAUUAAUAUUUUAAA